UGUAACAAGUGUCACCUGGCAGUUUGUUGCUCUCUGCCAGGUGAUUGGCUGAAAGAGCUGUGAAAAGGUAGUGGGUGUGUGGGGUGAAGUCAGCGCUCUUCUGUGGAAGAAACCAGAGGCAAUUAAUUCACUCGGGUGCGAGUGGGUAUAUUGUCGUGUGACCACCAAUUUUAAUAGAAGAAUUGAUCAAGCCCUAGAUCGACUGCGCGCAGGGAAACUGAUCAAUAUUCGGCGCUGUCUCUGCUGUCCUUUUUUUCUUCUUUUGAUUGAUUUGUAAUUUUCUUUUGGUUAGUCCGUCCAGCCGUAAAGGCGGUUAUUGAUUGAGAGUGAGUUGUGUAAGGGCGGACUAACCUCCUUUUUUUGUUUUCUUGUUUAAUUGUUUGUGCCACUUCCCUUUAUCUCCCAGAUUGCAGGCCAUGCAUAGCGCUGAUUCCCAGCUGCGCUGAGACCUGAAUUGUUUGCAGUGCGUGUCACGGUUGCAGUGUCGCUGAGCGGGGUGUGACGGGUUGCAGUGUAGUUCUAUUCGCACAGUUAGUGUGGUAAGUCUCAGGUGCAGCUGGGAUAGCAGCAGGAUGUGUUGUAAGUCCUGUCUGGAAAUAAGGGGAAUUUGUAUGUUUAAUUAAUGUAAUAAAUAAAUUAUCAAUUUAUUUCUUUGUCCCGUUCACUCAUACCUUGUCCUCGGU